rnacentral:lncRNA from 1 species
ACAAAACAUCAAGCCAACAGUUCAGGACUAGUCAUUCAAAUGGACUAAAGGACCCUUGGUGGGCAGUGCCUAAACAGAGACAACUACAGGUUUCUGGCUGUGGCCACUCUCUGGUGAAACUAAGGGGUUUCUGUGUGGAGGUGCCUAACAGCCACCGUCCAGUUUGGUAGUAUGAUGCCUCUGGCUUCCCUCUAUCACACGUCUUCUUUUCGAGUAAAGGUUUUUCAUAAAUGUGAGCGUGGAAGAAGAAACCAGUUAAAUAUGGAACUUCACACCAGGACACAAAAGGACUUCAAACUUUUAGAUUCCACAAGUAUGUGAAAAGAUGCAGUAUUUGUCUUUCUGUGCAUGGUUUACUUCACUUAUCAUCAUGUCCCUCAGGUUCAUCCACGUUGUUGCAAAUGACAGGAUUUCAUUCAUUUUUAAGACUGAAUAGUACUCCAUUAUGCAAAUAUACCAGAUUUUCAUUGUCUAUUCGUUCACUGAUGAACACGGGUUAAUCCUAUAUGUUGGCUAUUGUGAAUAAAGCUGCAAUGAAUAUGAGAGUACAGAUAUAUUCUUGACAUAUUAAUUUUAUUUUAUUUGGCAAUAUACCCAAUAGUAGCUAGAUCAUAUCAGAGUUCUAUUUUUAAUUUUUGAGGAAACUUCAUACUGUUUUUCAUAAUAGUUAUUACUAAUUUACACUCAGUAUACAAGAGUUCCCUUUUCUCCACAUUCUUUCCAAAAUUUGUUUCCUUUUCCCUUUUUGAUAACAGCUACUCUAACUGGGGUGAAAUAAUAUCUCACUGUGGUUUUAAUUUUCAUUUAUCUGAUUAAUGAUUUUGAGCUUUUUAAAAUAAAUACUUGUUGGCAAUUUGUAUGUCAUCUUUUGAGAAGUGUCUAUUAAAAUUUGUUUGCCUAUUUUUAA